AUUGAACGCUGGCGGCAGGCCUAACACAUGCAAGUCGAACGAGUGGCGGACGGGUGAGUAAUGUCUGGGAAACUGGCUGAUGGAGGGGGAUAACUACUGGAAACGGUAGCUAAUACCGCAUACCAUCGGAUGUGCCCAGAUGGGAUUAGGUCGUAGGUGGGGUAAAGGCUCACCUAGGCGACGAUCCCUAGCUGGUCUGACAGGAUGACCAGCAAACCUGGAACUGAGACACGGUCCAGACUCUUACGGGAGUCAGCAGUGUGGAAUAUUGCACAAUGGGCGCAAGCCUGAUGCAGACAUGCCGCGUGUAUGAAGAAGGCCUUCGGGUUGUAAAGUACUUUCAGCGGGGAGGCGUUACCCACAGAAGAAGCAACGGCUAACUCCGUGCCAGCAGCCGCGGUAAUAC
rnacentral:rRNA from 1 species